rnacentral:rRNA from 1 species
UACAGAGGGGGCAAGCGUUGCUCGGAAUUAUUGGGCGUAAAGGGCGCGUAGGCGGCUUUUCAAGUGACGGGUGAAAUCCCUCGGCUUAACCGAGGAACUGCCUGUCAGACUGGAAGGCUUGAGACCGGGAGAGGUGAGUGGAAUUCCCAGUGUAGCGGUGAAAUGCGUAGAUAUUGGGAGGAACACCAGUGGCGAAGGCGGCUCACUGGACCGGUACUGACGCUGAGGCGCGAAAGCGUGGGGAGCAAACAGG